rnacentral:lncRNA from 1 species
AAAAAAAUCAUAAUUAUAGUAUUUCCACUAUCAAUUUUCAAACCAUAGAAGCCAAUGUAGUUAUCCUUAGAUAUUUGAUUUUUUUUUUUUUUUUAAUAUUUACGGAAGAGAAUAGAACCGGAAAACGAGUUGACUUCCUAAUGACGUCAUGAGUGUCCUGUGUUAAUUUGUGUGCCGUGUUUGCAGUAUGCCACUCUACGAGGAGUACGCAGACAUGACCAGCAUCCAGGCGGAGUAUGACGGAUCGACCACCAUCGUGAACGACUCAGAUAAGAAGGACGGUGGUUUGAAAGCAGGAGCACAGGUCGCGCGCGGACGCUUUCGCCAUGAACCCUACCGCCGCCUGCCCGUAAACGUUCCAGCCUAAACGUUUGUUGGGAGUCACCUUACAAAGUACAUGUUUCGUGCUCUUAGCGUGUGUUGAAGCGCCUGGGCUGGGGAGAGCGAGCUGGUCGGUCGGCUCUGAGGAGGAGUAAGAGGAGGAGGUGCUGAGUUUGGUGUUGUGAGAUAUGGUGCGUCGAGAUUGUUGUUUUUUUCGUUUGUUUUUUGGAAGAGGAAGAAAGAGAAAUCAAGGAUAGAGUAGGUAGAGAAGGAGGAAGAUAAGACGAAGAGAUGAGAGAUAAAAAAUAAGAAAGAAACUUGAGAUGAGAGAUUUUUUUUUAUGGAAACAAAAAUGAAAAUGUUUGUUUUGGCUUGUAGAAAACGGAAGUGAUACUUCAUUUUCCUUGGAGAAGAAGAAGAAAAUGUUGGAGAUAGAUAUGUGUGCCGCCAUUCUCAUGGAAAUCAGUGGAUACGAAGAUGUAUUAUCAUUUCGUUUAUAUAUUUUUUACAGUAGUAUCUACUUCAGCUGUGAAGAAAAUGGAAAUGUUAUGACUCGAGUUGCAUGACGCUGAAAUACCACUGAUAAAGAAUGCUUUCAAGCAGUGCAAGAAGUUUCUCGCUGUGUGUUUUUUUUCUGUGCUUGUUGGUCAAAAGAAAAGUUGUUUUUGAGUGUCUGCUGGAGUGCUUGUCAAAUGCACUCAGACAUUGUGAAGGAAAGUUAGAUAUAAGUAUAUAUAAAUAACUUGCUUUUCUAUAUAUAUAUACUAAACGUUAUAUAUACACACACACAUAUAUAUAUAUUUAUAGUUUAUGAAGCCAUGCACGAGGGAAAGGAGUUUUAGAGAGUUUGAGUUCGUUAUCUCUCCAAGCAAAGAGCGAAUUGAUAUCGGUUAGGUGUGGUUUCUCGAGGGGGCGCCCCGCUAGCACCCCAGGUUUAUCAAAGCCCAAAGCCGACCCCCUGACCCUCCCUCCCCCCCUCCGUAAUCAAGACCUCCCCCCUCUCCCCCCAAUUCACAAACCUGGGGGGGGGGAGGAAUACCGGGACUCCCCCACCUCUCCCCUCUCCCCCUCUAACCGACCCCCUCCCCACCUAGUCCCCCUAACCUGGUGACUUUGUGCUUUUGCCCGUGUUAAGCAGAGGCGAAUCGUUGUAGCAGUAAGGUACAUAUGCCAGUAUUUCUCCUCGGUAUUGUGACUCUUAGUAAAAACAAAAACAAAAACAAAAAAUAUAAAAAAUAAGCCAAAAAAAAAAAAUACUUUUUGAUGUAUUAUUUGAAUAACGGCAUGGUGUAACGUCAAGAAAAUCUCUCUGCCCUUUGCCCCUCUCCCCUGCCUAUACCCUCGUAGCUAGUCUCCCUCCUCCUCCCCUACCCCCACCCCCCUGCCCCUCUUAUUCCCAUCUCAACAGAAAACGAAAAACUAAACAAAAUACAGACACGUGAAAACACCCCCCUCCCCCUCCCUCCCUUCCCUAUUGAACUAUUCCAAAAGGUGUUAUAAAAGAUCCUUUAUUUAUAUAUAGAGAACAAAAGAAAAAAGAAU